rnacentral:misc_RNA from 1 species
UUUCCGUAGGUGAACCUGCGGAAGGAUCAUUAACGAGUAAGGGUCAUUCUGACCCGACCUCCAACCCUUUGUUUAUUUACUAUGUUGCUUUGGCGGGCACGUUUCCCGACCGCCGCAAGGCCCCGGACUUCUCGCCUGUGCUCGCCAAUAGCCUUCUACAAACUCUUUAUCAAUUGUGAUGUCUGAGCAAUAAAUUUAAUAGUUAAAACUUUCAACAACGGAUCUCUUGGUUCUG